rnacentral:rRNA from 1 species
AUUGAACGCUGGCGGCAGGCCUAACACAUGCAAGUCGAACGAGUGGCGGACGGGUGAGUAAUGUCUGGGAAACUGCCUGAUGGAGGGGGAUAACUACUGAAAACGGUAGCUAAUACCGCAUACCAUCAGAUGUGCCCAGAUGGGAUUAGCUUGUUGGGGGGGUAACGGCUCCCCAAGGCGACGAUCCCUAGCUGGUCUGAGAGGAUGAACAGCAACACUCGAGCUGAGACACGGUACAGACUCCUACGAGAGGCAGCAGUGGGGAAGAUUGCACAAUGGGCGCAAGCGUGAUGCAGCCAUGCCGCGUGAAUGAAGAAGGCCUGCGGGUUGUAAAGUACAUUCAGCGGGGAGGCGUUACCCGCAGAAGAAGCACCGGCUAACUCCGUGCCAGCAGCCGCGGUAAUAC